GAUUUCUGGUUAGAUUUGCCUGUCCCGCCACGGUAACGUGUGUGAGUGACGGUGUGAAUCGGCCAUCCUUCUAGAUUCUCCCCUUAGGUGCAAACUUGGGGGGCAGGUCUAGAUCGAUUACUUUGAAUAAAUUAGAGUGUUUCAAGCAGGCAUAUUGCUAUGAAUACAUUAGCAUGGAAUAAUAAUUUAGGACUUCGGUUUUAUUUUGUUGGUUUCUAGGACUGAAGUAAUGAUUGAUAGGGACAGUUGGGGGUGCUAGUAUUCAGUAAGAAAGGGUGAAAUCUUUGGAUUUACUGAAGACUAACUUAUGCGAAAGCAUU
rnacentral:rRNA from 1 species